CAAAUGGACAGAUUUCAGAGGCUCGCUCCAAACAGAGGAAUCUCAGAGGCUCGCUCCAAACAGAGGAAUCUCAGAGACUCACUCCAAAGGGAGGGUUUUCUGAGGCUCCCUGCAAACGGAGGUUUUUCAGAGGCUCGCUCCAAACAGAGGUUUUUCACAGGCUCGCUCCAAAUGGAGGUUUUUCAGAUAUUUGUUCUGAAUGGAGGUUUUUAAGAGACUAGCUCCAAACAGAGGUUUUCAGAGGCUCGUUCCAAACGGAGUGUUUUCGAAGACUUGCUCCAAACGAAGGAUUUUCAGAUCCUCGCUCCAAACUGAGUUUUUUCAGAGGCUGGCUCCAAACUAAGGUUUUUCAGAGGCUCAUUCCAAAUGGAGUUUUUUCAGAGGCUCGCUCCAAAUGGAGGUUUUUCAGGUCCUCGCUCCAAAUGGAGGUUUUUCAGGUCCUCGCUCCAAAUGGAGGUUUUUCAAAAGCUGGCUCCAAACGGAGGUUUCUGAGAGGCUUGCUCCAAAUGGAUGGAUUUCAGAGGCUCGCUCCAAACAGAGGAAUCUCAGAGGCUCGCACCAAACAGAGGAAUUUCAGAGGCUCACUCCAAACUGAGGUUUUUCAGUGGCUCGCUCCAAAAGGAGAUUUUAUAGAGGUUCACUCCAAAUGAAGGUUUUUCAGAUGCUUUCUCCAAACUGAGAUUUUUCACAGGCUCGCUCCAAACGGAGGUUUGUCAGAGACUUACUCCAAAUGGAGGUUCUUCAGAGACUUGUUAGAAACAGUGUUUUCAGAGACUCACUCCAAACUGAGGGUUUUCAGUGGCUCGCUCCAAACGGAGAUUUUUCAGUGGCUCGCUCCAAAAGGAGACUUCAUAGAGGUUCGCUCCAAACGCGGGUUUAUCAGAGACUCACUCCAAACCGAGGUUUAUCAGAGACUUGUUACAAACAGAGUGUUUUCAGAGACUCACUCCAAACUGAGGGUUUCAGAGGCUCACUCCCAACGAAGGUUUAUCAGAGACUCACUCCAAACGGAGGUUUUUCAGAGGCUCGCUCCAAACUGAGGUUUUUUUAUAGACGCGCUCCAAAGGGAAGGUUUCAGAGGCUUGCUCCCAACUAAGACUUAUUAGAGGCUCACUCCAAACGGAGUGUUUUCAGAGACUCACUUCACAGGGAGGGUUUUUCAGAUCCGCGCUCCAAAUGAAGGUUUUUCAGAGGCUCGCUCCAAAUGAAGGUUUUACAGAGGCUCGCUCCAAAUGAAGGUUUUUCAGAUAUUUGUUCUGAAUGGAGGUUUUUCAGAGUCUAGCUCCAAACAGAGGUUUUCAGAGGCUCGUUACAAACGGAGUGUUUUCAGAUCCUCGUUCUGAAUGGAGGUUUUUCAGAUCCUCAUUCUGAAUGGAGGUUUUUCAGAUCCUCGUUCUGAAUGGAGGUUUUCCAGAUCCACAGGGUUUUCAGAGAGUCAUUCCAAAUGGAGGUUUUUGACAGGCUCCAUUUGUCACAAGCUUUUAGUGUUUUCAGAAGCUUGCUCCAAACGGAGGAUUUUCAGAGACUCGCUCCGAACUGAGGUUUUUCAGAGAUUCGCUCCAAACGUUGGUUUUUCAGAGGCUCACUCCAAACGAAGGUUUUUCAGAGACUCGCUCCAAAUUGAGUUUUUUUUAUAAACCGACUCCAAAGGGAGGAUUUCAGUGAUUUGCUGCAAACUGAGGUUUUUCAGAGAUUCUCUCCAAGCAGAGGUUUUUCACAAGCUCACUCCAAACGGAGGGUUUUCAAAGACUCACUCCAUACAGAGGUUUUUGACAGGCUCCAUUUUUCACAGCCUCCAUUUUUCAGAGGUUGGCUCCAAAUGAAGGUUUUUCAGAUCCUCGCUCCAAGCAGAGGUUUUUCACAAGCUCACGCCAAACGGAGGGUUUUCAAAGACUCACUCCAUACAGAGGUUUUUGACAGGCUCCGUUUUUCACAGCCUCCAUUUUUCAGAGGUUGGCUCCAAACGAAGGUUUUUCAGAUCCUCGCUCCAAACAGAGGUUUUUCAAAUCCUCGCUCUAAAAGAAGGUUUUUCAUAGGCUCACUCAAAACAGAUGUUUUUUUAGAGGCUCGCUCCAAACGGAGGAUUUUCAGAGGCUGGCUCCAAACAGAGGGUUUUCAGAGGCUGGCUCCAAACGGAGGAUUUUCAGAGGCUGGCUCCGCAAAGAGGUUUUGCCAGAGGCUCGAUCCAAUUGAAGGCUUUUCAGAGGCUUGCUCUAAAUGGAGGGUUUUCAGAGAUUCACUCUAAAUGGAGGGUUUUGACAGGCUCCAUUUUUCAGAGGCUCGCUCCAAACGGAGAGUUUUCACAGGUUCACUCCAAACUGAAGUAUUUCAGAAGCUCGCUCCAAAUGGUUGUUUUUGAGACUCACUGUAAACGGAGGGAUUUCAGAGGCUCGCUCCAAACGAAGGAUUGGAAAUAUAUCAGCUGAUUUAUUUGGCUGAAGUUUCCAUGAAUGGGUAGUGGUCAACUAUGAAGUGGAGAAGUUGCGCCAAGAGGACUACGUAACUUCUCCAGUCUGCACUCCUGAUAUGCUUGCAGUAUCUGUCCAUGGAAACCGCAAACGUUAAAGCUUAAAAGGUUCUGCAAGUGUGGAUGAAAAAGGAUCUUUUGAUGGAGUUUUCACUCACAAGGAUGAGGAG